rnacentral:rRNA from 1 species
CUACGGGAGGCACCAGUGAGGAAUAUUGCACAAUGGGGGAACCCUGAUGCAGCAACGCCGCGUGGAGGAUGACGCAUUUCGGUGUGUAAACUCCUUUUAUAUGUCAAGAAAAUGACGGUAGCAUAUGAAUAAGCACCGGCUAACUCCGUGCCAGCAGCCGCGGUAAUACGGAGGGUGCAAGCGUUACUCGGAAUCACUGGGCGUAAAGGACGCGUAGGCGGGUUGGAAAGUCAGGUGUGAAAUCCUACAGCUUAACUGUAGAACUGCACUUGAAACUUCUAAUCUAGAGUAUGGGAGGGGGAGAUGGAAUUAGUGGUGUAGGGGUAAAAUCCGUAGAUAUCACUAGGAAUACCCAAAGCGAAGGCGAUCUCCUGGAACAUUACUGACGCUAAGGCGUGAAAGCGUGGGGAGCAAACAGGAUUAGAUACCCCGGUAGUC